rnacentral:tRNA from 1 species
GUUUUAGAACAUCAGUGGCCAACGGUCGUCAGGAUCGUUGAGCUGCAUUGGCGGGAUUUCGCCGUCUACGUUUCUCUUUCUUCGCGGACGAACACGCGCUGGGCCUGUAUGCGCAGGAUCCCUGGUCCUUGACGGGAUAUGCGUUAGGGGCUUGUAGCUCAGUUGGUUAGAGCGCGCGCUUGAUAAGCGUGAGGUCGGAAGUUCAAGUCUUCCCAGGCCCACCACACUCAUCGGGUAAGCAUUCGUCUUCUGGUUACGGGGCCAUAGCUCAGCUGGGAGAGCGCGUGCUUUGCAAGCAUGAGGUCGUCGGUUCGAUCCCGUCUGGCUCCACCAGAUGGUUUGAUUGCCGACACGCUGUGCAUCUAAAUCGUCCGCGAAACAUCACUUCGCAUCCUGCUAGUCUGGAUAGACAGCUGGUUGCGUGAUUUCUGACAUCGUAAAGAGGAGAUCGAUCCGAGUUGGAUCGUGCAGAGAAUAUCUGCGCGAGACUUCAUUAUCUCCGGAUCAUUUCGGCGCUCGUGCAUCCUUCAAGGUCAAGCUUGAAAGACAUGCGAGUUGUAAAUGAUCCUUUUAGCGAAGCUUGACCGCCUCGCUAUCGGAACGAUCUUACGAAGCAAGCUGGUCUUUCUAAUCAUUGUCCGGCUGCAGAUAGCGUUCAUCGAGGGCGCGUGCCGCAAGGUAGUUCUGCAGACAACAUUCUGCCGAGUGUGUGGACAUUGAUAAUGAGAGCAAUCAAGGCCUAAGGGUGUUCGGUG